UUGGAGGACAUUAUAACCGUGGAGAAAAUCAAUGGGUAUUGGAAAGGACAGGAGCGAGGAUGUUAUACACAAGAUGGAAGCCCGGAGAACCUAACGACUCGGGCAGGAAAGAGGAUUGUGUCCUUGUGUGGAAUAUUGACAACCGUCGUCUAUGGAAUGAUGCUACAUGUAAUAUAAAAAGUAGCGUGAUAUGUCAGAAAAGUAUCAUCACUUCAUGAAGAUGAUGGAUACCACCGACCAAACCAGUCAAAGACUCUAUCAAGUGAUGAAGCUCACCAGUCAAAAACUCUACAACUGAUCAAUCUAGCCAGCCAUAACUCUAUCACGUGAUCAAUCUAACCAGCCAUACCUCUAUCACGUGAUCAAUCUAACCAGCCAUAACUCUAUCACGUGAUCAAUCUAGCCAGACAUAACUCUAUCACGUGUUCAAUCUAACCAGCCAUAACUCUAUCACGUGAUCAAUCUAGCCAGACAUAACUCUAUCACGUGAUCAAUCUAACCAGCCAUAACUCUAUCACGUGAUCAAUCUAACCAGCCAAAGACUCUAUCAAGUGAUCAAUCUAACCAACCAUAACUCUAUCACGUGAUCAAUCUAACCAGCCAUUACUCUAUGACAUGAUCACCGACCAAACCACACAUCACGUGAUAACUAUUGAUUGACCAACGGAAUAAACUCUGGAUUGAGGGAAAAACACUAAGGAAGACAAUAAAAUAGAAAAAUACAAGCUAACAAAAACAAAUAAUUAAAAAAACAAAAACAAAAAAAAAACAGAAAACAAAAAUAAUUUUGUAUAUACAUUUAAUAGGGCCAUUGUUUAUAUAAUGAUUUUUUUCCGGAUUCCAACAAUUUCAAUUUGUAAUAUUACUAACAGUCCUUGCUUUUAAUAUUAUAUAAAACAUUUUACAAUGUAUUUUAUAUGCAUACACAAUCAUUCUAUGCCGUAUCAUUAGCUAAAAUUCAUUGCUAUAUUACAGAUAUCAUUAUAUUAAUGAUAUAUAGUGUAUAUUGUUAUAUGCACUGAUUUUCUGGAGAAAUAGAAUGAAAUCAGCACGGACAAUGAGAUGUUAGAGGGAGAAGGGUACAUGAUGAUAUGACAAUGGACUUUGCUGUAUUUAAUCACGAAAUAAAUGAAUAUAUACUUCAAUCGA